rnacentral:rRNA from 1 species
AAUGAACGCUGGCGGCAGGCCUAACACAUGCAAGUCGAACGAGGUAGCAAUACCUAGUGGCGGACGGGUGAGUAACACGUGGGAACGUACCCUUUGCUACGGAAUAGCCCUGGGAAACUGGGAGUAAUACCGUAUGAGCCCGAGAGGGGAAAGAUUUAUCGGCAAAGGAUCGGCCCGCGUUGGAUUAGGUAGUUGGUGGGGUAAUGGCCUACCAAGCCGACGAUCCAUAGCUGGUUUGAGAGGAUGAUCAGCCACACUGGGACUGAGACACGGCCCAGACUCCUACGGGAGGCAGCAGUGGGGAAUCUUAGACAAUGGGGGAAACCCUGAUCUAGCCAUGCCGCGUGAUCGAUGAAGGCCUUAGGGUUGUAAAGAUCUUUCAGGUGGGAAGAUAAUGACUGUACCACCAGAAGAAGCCCCGGCUAACUCCGUGCCAGCAGCCGCGGUAAU